UUAAGUUCAGCGGGUAGUCCUACCUGAUUUGAGGUCAGAGGUCAGAAAGCUGUCUCCAUCGAGACGGUUAGAAGCCAGCCAAACGCUUCACGGUCGCGGCGUAGACAAUUAUCACACCGAGAGCCGAUCCGCAAGGAACCAGGCUAAUGCAUUUGAGAGGAGUCGACCACAAGGCCGACAAGCCUCCAAGUCCAAGCCUU
rnacentral:misc_RNA from 1 species